GCCUGGAAGGCUGCGUUCGACCCCUGACUAAGUGAACGGGCUGGUGUCACCUGGACUGGCGCUCACAUUGCUCUCCCUGUAGAUCCCAGCCCCCGCUCGGUGACGGGCCCUGGCCACCUGACCCCUGAGGCAUGUGGCACAUACGCUACGAAGAAAACCAUCCGUGGGAAUGGCUGACUCUGGCUCUUCCUCGCCGCUGGGCCUCGCAGAGGCAGCAAGCGCUGCAGCUUCUUCUCGCUACGAAAUGGUUCUCCUCAGCCCAGUGUCUCCUCUGACAGAAAUCCCACCGCGCUUUUCAUCAUGGUUGCAGCUGGCCCAUGGCACUGGGUGUGUGCAUGCGUGUGCACGCCUGCCUCAGCAAUCAAGCCGGUGUGAUGCAAAUAGGCCCCGGGUU